AAUCCAUAGGUUAAUGAGGCGAACCGGGGGAACUGAAACAUCUAAGUACCCCGAGGAAAAGAAAUCAACCGAGAUUCCCCCAGUAGCGGCGAGCGAACGGGGAGGAGCCCAGAGCCUGAAUCAGCAUGUGUGUUAGUGGAAGCGUCUGGAAAGGCGCGCGAUACAGGGUGACAGCCCCGUACACAAAAGCGCAUGUGCUGUGAGCUCGAUGAGUAGGGCGGGACACGUGGUAUCCUGUCUGAAUAUGGGGGGACCAUCCUCCAAGGCUAAAUACUCCUGACUGACCGAUAGUGAACCAGUACCGUGAGGGAAAGGCGAAAAGAACCCCGGCGAGGGGAGUGAAAAAGAACCUGAAACCGUGUACGUACAAGCAGUGGGAGCCCCACCACCAAAGCAUUUGCUGUACCGCGUUGACGGAGCGAAGCGACGUCAAACCGAUAAAACAGCAGUGUAAAGUGAGCCGCAGGGCGCUUUGCGCGACA
rnacentral:rRNA from 3 species